UGCUUGGUCAGCCUGUUCCCAAGGUUGUAAAUGUUUUGAGGCCAGGACUGUAUCCUUCUUUGCUUAGCACUUAACCUAAUGGAACCAGGGUCUUGACUGAGACAUCUCAGCACAAAGCUGAGCGCAAGAAAGAAAGAACUCUGACUGACUGCCAACAGCUGGAUUCAAAAACUAGUCUUCAGCGCAGCUCUGCAUCCAGGCUCACUGCAAAGAUCUGACCUGCCCUCAGUUGCUACAGACAUAGGGAGCACUCCCAUUAUGAAGCCCCUCUGCAAGGAUCCUAGAAUGACUAUUCCAAGUGACCGGACGAGGAAGACGGCAGGAGAACUGCAUCAGAGAGACCAACUGGCGGCUUCGGCAGUGGUGUCUCGAGGCAGGCUUCGGCUUCCUGGACCAUGACCCGCACAUCACGACGAGGGACAUGCUCAGCUGGGAUGGGCUUCACCUGUCCCCCAAAGGUAAGCGUGUGUUUUCUUCUAGGUUGGCGGAUCUCCUCCGGCGGGCUUUAAACUAGGCUCGUCGGGGGGAGGGGAGUACGAGGGCAGGGGAAGCUGUGGACCACCAAACCAUGUGGCACCCACAAGGACAGCCCAGCCUGAAGAAGGAGAACAUUGGGAACCUGAAAGCCAUGGGGAGGCCAGCACAACAGAACAGGU